rnacentral:rRNA from 1 species
AUUGAACGCUGGCGGCAUGCUUUACACAUGCAAGUCGAACGGUAACAGGUUAAGCUGACGAGUGGCGAACGGGUGAGUAAUGCAUCGGAACGUGCCCGGUCGUGGGGGAUAACGCAGCGAAAGCUGCGCUAAUACCGCAUACGAUCUAAGGAUGAAAGCGGGGGACCGUAAGGCCUCGCGCGAUCGGAGCGGCCGAUGUCAGAUUAGGUAGUUGGUGGGGUAAAGGCUCACCAAGCCAACGAUCUGUAGCUGGUCUGAGAGGACGACCAGCCACACUGGGACUGAGACACGGCCCAGACUCCUACGGGAGGCAGCAGUGGGGAAUUUUGGACAAUGGGCGAAAGCCUGAUCCAGCAAUGCCGCGUGCAGGAAGAAGGCCUUCGGGUUGUAAACUGCUUUUGUACGGAGCGAAAAGGUCUCCUCUAAUACAGGGGGCUCAUGACGGUACCGUAAGAAUAAGCACCGGCUAACUACGUGCCAGCAGCCGCCGUAAAAC